rnacentral:rRNA from 1 species
GGGCACUGUCUCAACGAGAGACUCGGUGAAAUCAUAGUACCUGUGAAGAUGCAGGUUACCCGCGACAGGACGGAAAGACCCCGUGGAGCUUUACUGUAGCCUGAUAUUGAAAUUCGGCACAGCUUGUACAGGAUAGGUAGGAGCCUUUGAAACGUGAGCGCUAGCUUACGUGGAGGCGCUGGUGGGAUACUACCCUAGCUGUGUUGGCUUUCUAACCCGCACCACUUAUCGUGGUGGGAGACAGUGUCAGGCGGGCAGUUUGACUGGGGCGGUCGCCUCCUAAAAGGUAACGGAGGCGCUCAAAGGUUCCCUCAGAAUGGUUGGAAAUCAUUCAUAGAGUGUAAAGGCAUAAGGGAGCUUGACUGCGAGACCUACAAGUCGAGCAGGGUCGAAAGACGGACUUAGUGAUCCGGUGGUUCCGCAUGGAAGGGCCAUCGCUCAACGGAUAAAAGCUACCCCGGGGAUAACAGGCUUAUCUCCCCCAAGAGUUCACAUCGACGGGGAGGUUUGGCACCUCGAUGUCGGCUCAUCGCAUCCUGGGGCUGUAGUCGGUCCCAAGGGUUGGGCUGUUCGCCCAUUAAAGCGGUACGCGAGCUGGGUUCAGAACGUCGUGAGACAGUUCGGUCCCUAUCCGUCGUGGGCGUAGGAAAUUUGAGAGGAGCUGUCCUUAGUACGAGAGGACCGGGAUGGACAUACCUCUGGUGUACCAGUUGUCGUGCCAACGGCAUAGCUGGGUAGCUAUGUGUGGACGGGAUAAGUGCUGAAAGCAUCUAAGCAUGAAGCCCCCCUCAAGAUGAGAUUUCCCAACUUCGGUUAUAAGAUCCCUCAAAGAUGAUGAGGUUAAUAGGUUCGAGGUGGAAGCAUGGUGACAUGUGGAGCUGACGAAUACUAAUCGAUCGAAGACUUAAUCAA